GAGUUGCAAAACUCCAACCCGUGUGAACCUUACCAAACGUUGCUUCGGCGGGCUCGCCCGCCGGAGGACCAAAACUCUUGAAUUUUACAGAAUCUCUGAGAAAAAAAGAUUAAAUAAUCAAAACUUUCAACAACGGAUCUCUUGGUUCU
rnacentral:misc_RNA from 1 species